rnacentral:rRNA from 1 species
CCUGGCUCAGAUUGAACGCUGGCGGCAGGCCUAACACAUGCAAGUCGAGCGGUAGCACAGAGAGCUUGCUCUCGGGUGACGAGCGGCGGACGGGUGAGUAAUGUCUGGGAAACUGCCUGAUGGAGGGGGAUAACUACUGGAAACGGUAGCUAAUACCGCAUAACGUCGCAAGACCAAAGUGGGGGACCUUCGGGCCUCAUGCCAUCAGAUGUGCCCAGAUGGGAUUAGCUAGUAGGUGGGGUAANGGCUCACCUAGGCGACGAUCCCUAGCUGGUCUGAGAGGAUGACCAGCCACACUGGAACUGAGACACGGUCCAGACUCCUACGGGAGGCAGCAGUGGGGAAUAUUGCACAAUGGGCGCAAGCCUGAUGCAGCCAUGCCGCGUGUGUGAAGAAGGCCUUCGGGUUGUAAAGCACUUUCAGCGGGGAGGAAGGCGGUGAGGUUAAUAAUUCGGGUUGUAAAGCACUUUCAGCGGGGAGGAAGGCGGUGAGGUUAAUAA